GUAUUGGUGAUUCAGUGGUAGAAUUCUCACCUUCCAUGCUAAAGAAACAGGUUCAAUUCCUAGCCAAUUCA
rnacentral:tRNA from 1 species